UCCCGCAUACACAAUUUUCCCGUUUUUUUUUGGCUCCCUGUAAAUCAACCCGCUCUAGUGUACAUAUGUAUGAUAUUAGUCUGUGACUAGUAAAAGCAAAACUGAAGAAAAAACCCAAAAUAAUACAAUAACAAAACACAAAAACGCAAAACAUUAGUUUUCACUCAUUUUUUGCGGCUACUUCUCUUCAUCGUUGCAUUUGCGGGCAUAGCGUAAGCCUAGGAAGUCAGCAGGCAGCUAAACAGCUGUGCUCACAGCCAGCCAACCCAGGAGUGUGGCACAAUGUGCAAAAAUGUGCUCGUGCGUUAUGCACAAAUUCGCAGCUGCAAUUACGGCUACGACGACGACGGCCAGAGUUGCAUACGAACGAGUUACGUAUGUACAUAUAUAUAUAUUAUAUGCAUGUGCAUAAGUUGCAAUUAUGGUAAAUAUACAAAUGCCGAGUGAGGCUGUGAGAUAUUGUCGCAAAGAUAGGCAUUCAUGCAUACAUAUUUACAUACAUAUAUAAAGUAUGUAUGUAACAACAUACCUGCAUUCAAUAGUAAAAAGGAGUGGGAAACAACAUUUGUAACUUGGUAUGAGAGAGAGAGAUAACGAGAAUACAAGCGUUAGAGAGCAAACGACGAACAGCCAGCAAACAGCAAAAAUGUACAAGAAAUGGAAGUGAAAAUGAAAACCGAAAAGGAAAAUGAAGGCGAUAAAAAUGAAAAUGUAAAAAAUUGCAAGGUAAGCCAGUAUCAUGCAACAACUGUAGCAUAACUAUGCAUACAUAUAAGCAAGAGUUCUGCUAUCAGUGCGCAGCAGUCGCAACAACAACGCGCUACAAAUACACACACAUAUGAGCGUAUGAGGAAUUGCAUGCUCGUUGUUGCAAGUGCACAUGCUAAUCUAUUUAUUUCCACAAGUUUUCACAUACACACACGCUUACUAGCGCACAUACAUAUGUAUACAUUUAUUUACCCGAUGAAAUAACAAUAUUUUAUAUACUUGUUUGUUAGAUAGCAAGGGUAAAUGAAGUAACGUGAUUUAUACUGUGUUCCCACGACUUGCGAUCCUAAGACUGCAGACAUAGUGCAACGAAUAAUAGUGCAGUUGACCGGUAUAAGUCAUUUGUCACACAAUUGGAUCCCUUUUGAUUAGAAUAUAUAUAACGAUAUAACUUCGCUAAAUUCGAAAAUAUUUAAUCCUAAAUACCGGAUUGAAAAAAAUGUUAAUCCCAAGAAUCCCAGGAAUAUAUGCUAAAGCAAAUUUAAAAAACAUAAUUUUAAAAGUAUUGAAAAAUGAAAUAAACAAAAGUUUUAAUUGCCAAAAUUGUGAACAUUUUGAGUAAAUAAUGUCAAAAUAAAAACAUACAAAACUUGUUGGCUACUUUUAGGAAUGUGAAAUAUGCUCCAAUCCAGCCACAGAAGUACGUCAUAAUUUUAACAUUUUUAUUAAAAGCAAAAAUUAUAAUAAACAAAAUAAAAUAUAUUUCCAAUGUUUCGAGGAAAGUUUAUUAUUUAGACCUAAGUUUGGCGAAGAUGUCAUGAACUAAAUAAAGAUAAUGAGAGUAAGAAAAAAUAAGAAGGAAAAAUACUAACCUUAAAAUUGUGUUGAAAAUGUAAUGUGAAUUUAUUUAAUUUUUUUUAUAUAAAAUUUAAAAAUUUAUAAAAUUAAAUAAAUAUUCGUUCGCACAAAUUGCUGAUUAUAAAAAAUUAUGAUAACGAAUUUUUACUAAUAAUACAAAGAAAAAAUUUUCGCUAACCCAAAAACACAGUGCAUGCCAUAGCACUUAAAUUAUAAUUGAAAUGUGAGAUUGUAUUGCUUAAUAAAUAAAUUAUAAAACAUAUAUGUA